rnacentral:piRNA from 1 species
GGAGAGCUGAGCGGGGAGGAACU